GUACUUAAUUUGUAGCCUAUUUAUAUACCCAGAAAUGUUCCUUCUUUAUGUCAGUUUACAUAUAUCAUAUGUGUAAGCAAUUAAUCAUUAGUAGAAAGUAAUGGACUCAAAUACUGCACUAGUCCUUUGAUCCCAAUAUGUCAUUUCAAUGUUCCUUUCUUCGAUGUUCAAGAUCGCUUCUCCAUUUUCAUUAAAUGAUGAUGAUAUAUGACAUUCCAAAAUACUUCCUUUUGGCUGGAUUAAUAAUUCUUCCAUUUUCCCAGUUAAGAAUUAGAUAUUAUAAAUAAUAUUGGUAGUGCACUGUGUGCUACAAACAAAGCAAUAAAUGACUAACUUCAAAAGCUGGAAUCGGUGGAAAGACUGUCGAUUUGGGAUGGUGGAACUAAUAAUGUUCAUGCUUCUUCUAGAACAUGUUGAAAAAAAAAAAAUUCAUUUUCUCAGCUUGAGUUUAGUCUGGUUAUAGAAUCUCAUAUUUUUUCAUCCCAAUAAGCAAUGAUAUGAGGUUUUCAGUUUUAAUUCUUCGUUCAUUGUUGAAGUUCUUUCCUAUUUUCGACAUGAACUCCUGAAGUCAUGUAGUUGAGCAUUUCAGACAGUUAUGUGGUGAUGCUCUUAUUUGUUUAUUAUUCCUCCUCCUUUCCUUCUGUCAUGUUUUCUGCAUAUGGUGCUGUCCAAGACUCCUAGAUGUUCGAAUUUCUUCAUUUCCUCUCGCUCUAAUCACAUGGAAGAAAAUUAUUGGCAUUUUUUGUUUUUCUGUUGCAUCUUUAUUUCUAGUCGAAGUCAAACUUCAGCUCAUUAAACUGCAUAUUCUUUAUUAAAUUCAUGUCAAAAUGGUAGUAAUGGAUCGUUCACUUUUGUUUACAGGCAUGGUUGGGAGCUGGAAUAUUAUUCUAUGCAUUCGGAGUAAUAGCCGUGUUGUCGCUCGUUUUCAUAUUCUUCAUUGUACCAGAGACCAAGGGGCUUACUCUCGAGGAAAUCGAGGCCAAAUGCUUGUAGACAAGCUUUGUACAC
rnacentral:misc_RNA from 1 species